rnacentral:lncRNA from 1 species
GGCCAUGUACUCUAGUGCUUGCUGCUGGGAAUGUUCCAUGUCUGGAGCUGGGCUGAGCAUUUGGGUUGGGUGUGAAUUGCUCUGCUUCAUGAAGUGCCACUGAUCUUUAACUUAGUUUCAUCAAAUGGGAGAAGGGGGAAAAUCCGUGAGCACCAGCCCCUGGCAUUCCCCUGCCAUCAACUUGUCCAGGUCACAUGUGGAAGGAUUGGAGAUCUGGGCUGAGUCACUGUGGGAUGUUUGGGCCAUGAACUCUCACCAAGUUUGGCAUGACUGAGAAAUCCCUGUGGCUGAUGAACAUCAGAUCCAACUCAAAUCGCAGAGGGAGCAAAGGCUUAGGACCAUGUGCAUCUGGCAGCUCCUGCAGCAAGUCCUUGGGGUCAGGCAGAGGCUUUUGGCCAACUGUGGGCAAGGCCAGGACAGCAUCUUCCCACUGGCCUUGAUCUGCUCAUUCUCCCUGCUGGCGGUUUGCUCUCUGAAGCAAAGUGCCAGGAUUUGAGCAAGAGGAGCCCUUCCCAUACCAUGGAUGCAGCAGGGAGCCAAGGAUCUCCGAGUGUUGCCCCUUCUGCCCUGUGUGCCUCUCUUUCUGGCUGUAUCUAGACAAGCAAAACCCUCUUCAGUGUUUCUUGCCAAGUCACUGCUCAGAGCUCAAGGUUGGAGAUCUGCAGCAAGGACAGCCUUCUAUCUGGGCUUUGGUGGUGCCUGAUUGUGCCCGUCCUGCUCCCUGCUGAAUCCAGCAUGGCCAGACCAGCAGCGAGGGCAGCUGCAGUCUCCUGAGAUGGGCAGAUGUCAACAGCAGAAUCUCCCUCAGGACAACGUUGCCCUGGAUUGAUGGGGAUAGCUAUGGGCUGGGAUAAAACCUGCUUUAUUUGGGUGAGUUUCUUUUGUUAACUAAGCACAUCUAGUACCUCAUGGCAGGAGGGAAUAAUGCUGGCAGAAGAGGGUGAGCACUGGGCUGUGUUCAUACCUGCUCUUACAUUUUGUGUAGCCAGCUGCUUUCCUGCACCCACAAGCCACCAGAGUGGUUUGCACUGCUGGUGCAGCACCCACAUCUUCCACUUAGUGCCCAAAUGUUGAUGUCCUGUAGC